CAGCUCCAUCCUACCCCUUAGGAGUCCUUCUGGAUGGACUUCAACUCCUCUCAGUGGACGAUGUCUGCUGUCCGUUUUUUUUUCUAGAGAGGGUCUUUGCGGCAGUCCUCCUGCAUCAGCCUCCUGAGUAGCUGGGACCAGCUGGGACUACAGCCUUAGGAGUGGAAACUGUCCCAUGGUUCUUCUCCAGAUGCCUCAACAUCCCUUGUGUACUCCCAUAACCCAGCCUACCCACUUGUGAGGAAAUAAAAGAUCAAAGAGUAGAAAGAGUUGCCCUCCAGUUAC